rnacentral:rRNA from 1 species
GACGAACGCUGGCGGCGUGCCUAAUACAUGCAAGUAGAACGCUGAAGGAGGAGCUUGCUCUUCUGGAUGAGUUGCGAACGGGUGAGUAACGCGUAGGUAACCUGCCUGGUAGCGGGGGAUAACUAUUGGAAACGAUAGCUAAUACCGCAUAAGAGUAGAUAUCGCAUGAUAGCUGCUUGAAAGGUGCAAUUGCACCACUACCAGAUGGACCUGCGUUGUAUUAGCUAGUUGGUGAGGUAACGGCUCGCCAAGGCAACGAUACAUAGCCGACCUGAGAGGGUGAUCGGCCACACUGGGACUGAGACACGGCCCAGACUCCUACGGGAGGCGGCAGUAGGGAAUCUUCGGCAAUGGACGAAAGUCUGACCGAGCAACGCCGCGUGAGUGAAGAAGGUUUUCGGAUCGUAAAGCUCUGUUGUAAGAGAAGAACGAGUGUGAGAGUGGAAAGUUCACACUGUGACGGUAU